AGAACGAACGCUGGCGGCAGGCCUAACACAUGCAAGUCGAACGCCCCGCAAGGGGAGUGGCAGACGGGUGAGUAACACGUGGGAACAUACCUUUCGGUUCGGAAUAACUCAGGGAAACUUGUGCUAAUACCGGAUACGUUCGCGAGAAGAAAGAUUUAUCGCCGAAAGAUUGGCCCGCGUCUGAUUAGCUAGUUGGUGAGGUAACGGCUCACCAAGGCGACGAUCAGUAGCUGGUCUGAGAGGAUGACCAGCCACAUUGGGACUGAGACACGGCCCAAACUCCUACGGGAGGCAGCAGUGGGGAAUAUUGGACAAUGGGCGCAAGCCUGAUCCAGCCAUGCCGCGUGAGUGAUGAAGGCCUUAGGGUUGUAAAGCUCUUUUACUCGGGAAGAUAGUGACGGUACCGAGAGAAUAAGCCCCGGCUAACUUCGUGCCAGCAGCCGC
rnacentral:rRNA from 1 species